rnacentral:rRNA from 1 species
UACGGAGGGAGCAAGCGUUACUCGGAAUUAUUGGGCGUAAAGGGCGCGUAGGCGAUUCGAUCAGUCUCGUGUGAAAGCCCAAGGCUUAACCUUGGAAUGGCACGGGAUACUUUCGGAUUUGAGUUCCGGAGAGGAAGGCAGAAUUCCCGGUGUAGCGGUGAAAUGCGUAGAUAUCGGGAGGAAUACCAGUGGCGAAGGCGGCCUUCUGGACGGAUACUGACGCUGAGGCGCGAAAGCCAGGGGAGCAAACGGG